UAAAGACCAUUAAAACUGUUAUGACAGAAGAUACAGAAUACUGCUAACUAUCAACAGAUAAAGACCAUUAAAACUGUUAUGACAGAAGAUACAGAAUACUGCUAACUAUCAACAGAUAAAAACCAUUAAAACGGUUAUGACAGAAGAUACAGAAUACUGCUAACUAUCAACAGAUAAAACCAUUAAAACGGUUAUGACAGAAGAUACAGAAUACUGUUAACUAUCAACAGAUAAAAACAUUAAAACUGUU